rnacentral:rRNA from 1 species
ACCAGACUCCUACGGGAGGCAGCAGUGGGGGAUAUUGCACAAUGGGGGGAACCCUGAUGCAGCGACGCCGCGUGGGUGAAGAAGCGCCUCGGCGCGUAAAGCCCUGUCAGCAGGGAAGAAAAUGACGGUACCUGAAGAAGAAGCCCCGGCUAACUACGUGCCAGCAGCCGCGGUAAUACGUAGGGGGCAAGCGUUAUCCGGAUUUACUGGGUGUAAAGGGGGCGCAGACGGCGAUGCAAGCCAGGAGUGAAAGCCCGGGGCCCAACCCCGGGACUGCUCUUGGAACUGCGUGGCUGGAGUGCAGGAGGGGCAGGCGGAAUUCCUGGUGUAGCGGUGAAAUGCGUAGAUAUCAGGAGGAACACCGGUGGCGAAGGCGGCCUGCUGGACUGCAACUGACGUUGAGGCCCGAAAGCGUGGGGAGCAAACAGGAUUAGAGACCCCGGUACAC